GACGAACGCUGGCGGCGUGCUUAACACAUGCAAGUCGAACGGAAAGGCCCUGCUUUUGUGGGGUGCUCGAGUGGCGAACGGGUGAGUAACACGUGAGUAACCUGCCCUUGACUUUGGGUUAACUUCAGGAAAUUGGGGCUAAUACCGGAAAGGAGUUCCUGCUGCAUGGUGGGGGUGGGAAAGUUUCGGCGGUUGGGGAUGGACUCGCGGCUUAUCAGCUUGUUGGUGGGGUAGUGGCUUACCAAGGCUUUGACGGGUAGCCGGCCUGAGAGGGUGACCGGCCACAUUGGGACUGAGAUACGGCCCAGACUCCUACGGGAGGCAGCAGUGGGGAAUAUUGCACAAUGGGCGGAAGCCUGAUGCAGCAACGCCGCGUGCGGGAUGACGGCCUUCGGGUUGUAAACCGCUUUCGCCUGUGACGAAGCGUGAGUGACGGUAAUGGGUAAAGAAGCACCGGCUAACUACGUG
rnacentral:rRNA from 1 species